rnacentral:lncRNA from 1 species
UGACGGCAAAUCUGUUGUCGCUAAUAGCUAUUUUUAUCGAUAACUUAUUACGAUGAAAAUCAGACUCAUCGUAAUAAGUGUGAAGACUUAUUAGCGACAAUAUUAGCAACGGGAUGCCAUCGCUAUUAAGUUUAUUAUUAUUAACGAUGGCAGUAGCGAUGGCAUUAGCGAUGCAACUUAGCCGUCGCUAAUAAUAUGCCCUAAAACCCCCC